UACACUUGCCUAGUUGCUUUUGGCUCAUUGUUUGGACUAUGGGAGCCAUUGGACAUGCAAUUUUAAUCUAAUCUUUUUAAAUUGAUCAUAUCAUAACAGUUGAUACGAAUUUAAUUUUAAAACCUCGUUUAUGUUCAGAAAAUGAGCAAAAUUGUAAAGCUAAAUGAAUUGAGUGACUGCAAAUGAAUGAGUAUGGAAAGCUCUGUUAACCAGGUACACAACUGAAGAAAAAGUCACUGAAGAAUACCCCAUCAAUGCCAAUUUUGUUUGUCGACAAGCUGUACCUGGAGAGUCAAGACUAAGCUCUUGUCCCUAUUUCAUGUUCUGUAUGGCCUGCAUAACUGCCGGGAAUCCUGGGUGAACCAGAUGAGUCUAUUCAUUUUUUUUUUAAAUUUAGAUUGGGCAAGAAGGAAAAUUCAACUUUCAGCAGCCAUGAAGAAAACAAACCUGAACCUGAUGUGAACAUUCCGUGCCAGCCACAUCUACCCAUCUAAACUGCCACAAUGUUUUAACGGAAAAAGCAAGAAUUCCAGAAAAGUAUUGGUCUGCUGUAAUGGAAGAUGUAGUUCCUUGCCAAGAUGGAAUUUUUUAAAACUUUAUCAAGAGCUAUUCAAUCUGAGGCAAAUGGCUUCCACGAUACAGUUGACAAGCAACAACCAGUCCUGUUUGGAAUUUGACGAAGAAGUUUGGUCGUCACUCGUCAAAGUUGAGAAAGAAGAAGACUGGAGCCUGAUAAGAACCUGUCUGUUGAUGCAAUUAAAACAAAGACAGACAAAAUGGAAACUGAAGAAAUGUUAAAGAAGAGUGGCGUUGAUACGGUAACGAUUUUAUGUAAUGGUCACACAAGAACAAUUACCGCAACACCAACUGCAAACUGGACUUAGAAUGAAAGUAAUUAUGCUGACCAUCUUUCUAACCUGAAUGCUACAGAUAUUGUUAGUUGAUGACCAGUUCUUUGCUCAUCUGUUUUAGAAAUUUCAGUCUAGUUUACAUGGGGAAAACUUGCCAACUGUAAUUCCUUUAAAAAUAGGAUUAACAGCCUGGUGAAGUCUGAGCUUUCCUUGCUGUCCGUUGGUUUUCUUGCAGUUGGAUGGUGAAACGUAUUAUAAAAUCAAAUUGAUGUGUUUCAUGCAGUCUUUCUUGCUGGUGUAAUCCUGUGAAGAAGUCCCGAAGUAUGUUAACUGUUAUUGAUUCGUAAAAUUUGUAAAAUGAUUACUCGAACGGAAACUUGGAA
rnacentral:lncRNA from 1 species